UUGGCAGCUCUAAUAUGAGGUUCACACCAACAGAGUCCAACUAUAAUCAUGUUGCUUCUGCUGUCCCUUUGUCAAAUAAUUUGAAGGGAAUGAGAAACCUGCAAUGGGAAGAGCGGUAUCAUCAGUUGCAAGUUUUACUAAAGAAAUUAGAUGAAUCAGAUCAAGAGGAUUAUGUUCAGAGUAUGUGCUUGUGUUACAAAUAUGCAACCAUGAGUAAUCUAAUUUAUCACUUUGGGAUUUUUUUCUUCUAUUGCACUCAUUCACAUAUCAUUUUUGUUUCUAUUAGUGCUGCGUUCACUUUCCUCAGUUGAGCUUAGCAGGCAUGCCGUUGAAUUGGAGAAGAGGUCCAUUCAACUGUCUCUAGAAGAAGGUAACCUGAAAUCUCUGCUUUGAAUCCUCUUCUUUUGUCCCUCCUUAUAAGAUGCUAUAGGUAUGAAGAGAUUAUCAAAUGCAACCUAAGCCAUGGCAGAAAUUUUAACACUGUUAUCUUUUAACCAACUAGUUUUUGAAGAAUGUGCAUUCACAUGCAUCUUGUGUGUGCGACUUUUUUCUUUUUUACAUACAUUCCUCCUUAUUUUUAUUUAGAAUGCCUUUUCUUAUCUUCAUUAUUCUUCUCUUUCUAGUUCUAGGUUUUUUCUCGUUAAGGACUAAGGCAACUUUAAUUUCUACCUUUUUUUUUUUACUUUAUUUUUCUUCCUAUCAAAUAUUUUUUUUUCCUUACAAUAGUUAUACAUCUAACAAGUAUAUCUGAGAACUUUUUUUUUUUGAGCGCAAUGUAUACUAUAUUAUCAUUGUCAAUGUAAGGCCAUAUGAUAAAAAUCCAAAACUUUACAUAUAUUCUCAAUUUUAGGCAGAGCUCUUAAUUUGAUCCUCAAACUUAGAUAUUAAUUUCAACUUUGGCAAUUAUGUAAUUUGAUAAUAGUCUCUUCAAUAGUUAUUAAUCCUAUUAUUAAGUUAAAUGCAUUAAAAAAAUGGAUAUGAUAGGAUAACUAAUAAUUAUGUAAGAACUAUAACUACUUACAAAUAACAAAUAUAAUUAUGUAAUGUCUAUUCAAAUGCUUAUCUUUAUAUUUGCAUUUUUAUAUGUUGGUCUAUCUAUUUAUUAAUUUACAGAACGUCCUUGAGAUUUGACAAAACCCACAUGGUAGUCAUUAAAUUUUUCGGUAACAAAUUAGUUUCUAAGUUUAAUUUCUGUCUAACAAAAUGGUCCUCCCGUGAAUAAAAGGUACAUGUUGCCAUGAGUUGACUAUUAACUAGAGGUUAUAUGUUUUUAACGGUCAAAAUACCCUCUCUAAGUAGCUAAUAUAUUUUUUUUUUGUAAUAAGAAGUUACUUUUAUCCAUUAUUUUGUCAUAAAAAAUUGAGAGGUUAGUAUUUUAAUUUCUGAAGAUUGGUGAACUUGGUUGUAGGAGGCCUUUGUGUGUAGUACGCCUUCAAUAAAGAGGGAAAGAUUUAAGUCCUGCUAUGCAAUUUGUAAUAUAGUUUGAUAUGGAAAACAAUUAACAAGUGCAAGAAGUUAUUAUAGUACACCAUUCCAAAUCAUCUUACCAAUUGGCCUAAUGUACAGGGUGAGAUUAAAAAUGGUGAAAUUACAUGAUUUAUUAUCCAAUAGUUGUUUCGCAGAGACAAAGGGUUGAUCUUUAAAUAUGAAAAAGAGUGGAUCUGAAGGAUCCCAUAUGAAUUGGCUUAUUCGAAAAAAGCCUUGCCUGGGGGAUCUCUAUGAGUCCUCGAAAUAGGAUGAUGUCGUGAAGAAUUUUUAUUCAAACAUUUAUUGGUGGUGAGAUUAAGGAUCAUUGUAAAAUUCAAUUAAUAUAUCAUUUCGAGCAUUGAUGUUAUUUGAUGAAAGCCCUUUUCAAGAAAAAAUGGAGGAAAUAAGAGGGAGAAGGGAGUUUAUUAUUGUUUUUUAAGAAUUAGCAAGCUCAGUGGUUGUGUCUCAUCUCAGUGUUAGGAUGGUGGAGUCAACGGAGUGUCUAUGUUCUGAUGGAUAGUGGUGGUUAUUGAUGGUGGCUAAAGCCCAUAUGGUAGGGAGUUGGCCAUACCUUAUGAACUUUAAUUAAUGAAUUGGAAUGAGUAUACAAAUCUAAUCGUUGUAUAAUAGGAUUAUUUUGAUCGAUUACACCCAUUUAAAAUCUAAGUGCCCUUUUAUGAUUCAUUCUCUUUAUAGUGGGUAAAUGGGUACCAUGGUUUUAAAUAACGGCCCUUAUGUAAGGCCAUUACAUGUUGCCCCGUUAUACAAUGGCCUCUUUGAUUUGCAGGCAUAACGGCCAUUACCAAUAAUUAAAAUUCUUUUAUAUCCUUCCUCUUUUGCUCCCUAUUCUCAUUUUCAUUAGUUUCUACACCUUUCAGCAGUUUCAAAGGCUAUAUUUUUUAAGUUUUCUCUUUUCUUUCUCUUUCCUUUCUCUUUCAAAUUUCAAUCUUCCUUGCAUAUUUCUCAUAUAAGUUUAGAUCCAUCAUAAACUACUCUAUUUUCAAGCUUAUUUCUUCUAAAAAGUUAGUUAAAUUUUAUCUAUUUUAAUUUUUAAUUGUUAUUUUCCCCCACUUUUUUUUUUAAAGUUUUUGUGAAUUAAAGUGUUAGUUUUGAGUUAAAAUUGUACUUUGAGCUAUUAGUUUACUCGAUCUAUAUAGUUUAUGUUGAUUUUUUUUAUAUUUUAAACUAUAUGAUAUUUAACUUAAGUUAAAUAAUCUAUAUUUUAUAUAUUUAUGUUUAUUAUGCAUUUGUAUACAUUGAUCUGAAUUAAAUCUAAUCAAUAUCAUUUCAUUUAUGAAAUUUACAAAUUUUUUUGAAAAAUUUGCGUAGCAUCAGGCUAUUACCGUUACGUUACAGGCUUGUUUCUAUUACCCGCGACCACAAACGUGGCCACGAUUGCGAUUUAAAACCAUUAUGGGUACACAUCAAAAUUUGCCUACUCUGUGCUGCAGUACUGCAACAUUUUGAGCAGACAAUAUACUUGAAUAUAGGUAUCUGCUUAUGCACAUUGCCAUAUGAUGGAGGACUCACUGGAAAUAGAAUGUUUAAAACUAUGGGAUAUUACCUUUCACCUUUUUCUUUCUCACUGUUGGUUUCAAAUGCUUUUUAUACGUACUCAAUAUUGGCCUUUGUAGACAGUGUGAUGUGUGCAUAGCUGUUGCCUCUGCAUAUGCAGGUGUUUGUGUGCUUUUCUGGAAAUGUGUGUGUGUGAGGAGAGAGAGAGAGAGAGAGAUAGAGAAUCUUCAAGUAAUGAUAUCUCCUAAUUGUCCUUGAUAUGUACUCCUAGAUUUAUAUGUUGCUUCAAAGCAUUUGUGAACUUAAAAAACUUCUAUUCUUGUUUAACGCUGAGCAGACUUUGGAGCCUUUUUGCACAUUUUAGAUUAGAUUUUCGCUGAGCUGGUAUAAGGCCUUUCUUUUAGUUUAGCAUGACUUGAGCACAAUAAUCUGGGGCAUCCAUGUUUCAUAUUUGGCAGUCGUAUCUUUUAACAGUUGCUAAAGAAGUUACAAUAACACCAUCGUGAUUGUAUCAUCUCUGCUUUCUUUUUCAUGGGAGUUCAGUAUGGUUGGAUGAGAAACCAUUGGAUUAUUGUUGUACAACCAUCAGGUGUUUUUAGUUUGGCCAUAGAGACCUAUAUAGAGAAGGAGUGAGCAUUCGGUCUGUUCGGUUCAAAAUCGAACUGAACCGAAUAAACUGAAAAUUGAAAUUUUAGUAUUUAUGAAAAUUAAAUCGAACUGAUUUUGGUUAGACCGAACCGAAUUGAUUUUGAUUAGACUGAAUCGAAUUGAACUGGUCUGAUUCGAUUUGGUUUGGAUUUUUAAUAAACUUUUUAUUUUUUUACACUUUAUUUUUAGUAUUUUAAAAUUUAAUUGAAAUAUUUUAACCUUGAUUAUGAUUUAAUCUCUCUAUAUUAUUAAAAAUAAUAUACUAUUAUCACUAAUCAGUUCGAUUUGAUUUUUUUUUUAUUAAAAUCGAACUGAAAUAAUCAAAAAUUUUGAAAUUAAAAAUCGAAUCAAACUGAACCGAAAUGAAUAAAAAAUCAAAUCGAAUUUUUGACUUAAUUCGGUUUGGUCGGUUUUUUUGGUUUGAACCGAAUGCUACCCACUCUUUGAUUGAGUCAUUGAAAUCUUGUUUAGACUGCAAUCAUAUCUUAAUUUAAAUAAUGAAACUUUGGUUUUCUUUAGAAAAUAACAACUACGACAACAAUAAUAAUAAUUAGAUAACCUGUAGUUUGUACAUAUUGCUGGCUGUGAUGGUGUUUGUGUUUGCUUGAAAACUCUCAACUUCGAUAUUUGAGAUAGCCUGAAGCUAAUAGAUAUUUAUCCAUUGUUGCAGCAAAAGAGAUGCAAAGGGUUGGGGUUCUGAAUGUACUGGGAAAGUCCAUGAAGAACAUUAAAGCAUCUGCAACUUGUCAAGGCCAACCAUAGAAAUGAUAGGAUUGAAUAUCAAGUUACUGUUGUAUAGUCCUUUAGCUGAUGAGGGAAAUGUAACUAUAGCUACUGCUACAGCCACUUGAGUAUUUGCUUCAGAUUAUGUGCUCCGAUGUGUUAUUAUGAAGUUCUAUGAAUAGUUGUUUUCUUUUCUUUCUUCUUAAUUGGGUUUCAAGCAGGUUCAAUCUGUAAUUUCGUAGUAAUUUUUAGCAUUGUAAUAUGUUGAGAGUCGAUGCUAUUUCAAGGGAUUGAUACAACUAGGCAGUAGAAGAAAUUGCAAAAACUGAAAAUUGUGAUAGGAAAAUGCGACAAUUGAGAGGUUGAGCCUAGUGAGAAUAUAUAUAUAUUCGUAAAUGAAACAGGGAAACUUCAACGAGGUAAAGAAGUUGCAAACUGACCUUUGAGAAAAAAUAUCAGCUGAAUACAAUCAUAAUUCAUAAGUAAUGUCUUGAAUCUGAAGAGAAGCAAAAUGACCUUGACGCGAAAGAAUGAUUGUGGAAGAAUCAACCUUCAUAAUAAUCUUAGAGAGACUCUUGUAUGUGGCAAGAACUUUGGGACAUGCAGUGCUUCUAAAGGUGAGGGUCUAUCAUCAGUUAAUAGACUCUCGAUGAUCUCUUACCACGAUAACCGAUGCCUCCCUUAUUCCGUUGCCCUUUCAUUCAUACCAAAGAAAAAAGCCGAGGAGCUAAACCAAGGAAAAACCAUUCAUAAUAAAAUUUGAGGUUUACGUCCAUCAUGUUGUUACUAGCGGAGGGAGAUGAGCCUAAACUAAGUGGGGAGUGGAUGUGGGCACAAGAGAAGAGGUGGAAGACUGGUCUCCCUUGAACUAUAGAAAUUAGGAAAAAAUUUUGCUUAUAUUGAAUAUAUAUUUACUC
rnacentral:lncRNA from 1 species